GCCUUCGUAGCUCAGCUGGAUAGAGCAGCCGCCUCCUAAGCGGCAGGUCAGCCGUUCGAAUCGGCUCGAGGGCA
rnacentral:tRNA from 1 species